AGUGAACGCUGGCGGUAGGCCUAACACAUGCAAGUCGAACGGCAGCACAGUAGGAGCUUGCUCUUACGGGUGGCGAGUGGCGGACGGGUGAGGAAUACAUCGGAAUCUACUUUUUCGUGGGGGAUAACGUAGGGAAACUUACGCUAAUACCGCAUACGACCUACGGGUGAAAGCAGGGGAUCUUCGGACCUUGCGCGAUUGAAUGAGCCGAUGUCGGAUUAGCUAGUUGGCGGGGUAAAGGCCCACCAAGGCGACGAUCCGUAGCUGGUCUGAGAGGAUGAUCAGCCACAAUGGAACUGAGACACGGUCCAGACUCCUACGGGAGGCAGCAGUGGGGAAUAUUGGACAAUGGGCGCAAGCCUGAUCCAGCCAUACCGCGUGGGUGAAGAAGGCCUUCGGGUUGUAAAGCCCUUUUGUUGGGAAAGAAAAGCAGCAGGUUAAUACCCCGCUGUUCUGACGGUACCCAAAGAAUAAGCACCGGCUAACUUCGUG
rnacentral:rRNA from 1 species